CCUACGGGAGGCAGCAGUAGGGAAUAUUGCUCAAUGGGGGAAACCCUGAAGCAGCAACGCCGCGUGGAGGAUGACGGUUUUCGGAUUGUAAACUCCUUUUGUUAGAGAAGAUAAUGACGGUAUCUAACGAAUAAGCACCGGCUAACUCCGUGCCAGCAGCCGCGGUAAUACGGAGGGUGCAAGCGUUACUCGGAAUCACUGGGCGGAAAGAGCGCGUAGGCGGGAUAGCAAGUCAGAUGUGAAAUCCUAUGGCUUAACCAUAGAACUGCAUUUGACACUGUUAUUCUAGAGUAUGGGAGAGGUAGGUGGAAUUCUUGGUGUAGGGGUAAAAUCCGUAGAGAUCAAGAGGAAUACUCAUUGCGAAGGCGACCUGCUAGAACAUAACUGACGCUGAUGCGCGAAAGCGUGGGGAGCAAACAGGAUUAGAUACCCGAGUAGUC
rnacentral:rRNA from 1 species